UGCGCCCGACGACUCCAAACCAGCAACUGUUGCUCCUAAGCGCUACUGCCGGUUCUCGGACCGCCGGCUCAGCGAUCUCCUCCUUCUAAACCAGGCUGCCCCUCAUCUAUUUCCACUAGAUGUUUGAUGCCCGAGCCCAUCCCGGGAGCGGACCGGUUCGGCUCACAGCUGCCCCCGAGCGCCCGGCGCCAUCCAAAUUGCUCGCCGCCGCGGCGGACCAGCAGACGUCCCCUUCCCCCCGCAGCCCCGUGCCGUCCCCCGGCCGUUUCAAAGCGCUCUCAGCAGCAGCGGAACCCGAGCGGCUCGGAGAUCGGCGGUCGCGGUACGGGCGUGAAGCGGCCCCGGCACCGCAGCAUCCCAGGACCCGCCGGGCUCGGCACCGCGCUGCGCAUGCAGCACCGCGCACACAGCGUUUUGCAUGCGCGUUUUCGGCAGAAAGACCUCAGCUGGAGCCUGGGACUGCAACACGGAGGGUGCUCAAGAAACAAAAGAAGGGAGUUAUUCUUCACUGAGUGAGGGCUACAACAGCACAGACUCUGAGAAUGAAUCCAACGCAUCCCAGAGGAGGAAGGAGUUAUCACCAGGCCAGGCUGUGUCCCCAGUGCAGGCUGUAUUGC